CUUUCAGCAAUGGAUCUCUUGGCUCUCGCAUCGAUGAAGAACGCAGCGAAAUGCGAUAAGUAAUGUGAAUUGCAGAAUUCAGUGAAUCAUCGAAUCUUUGAACGCACCUUGCGCUCCUUGGUAUUCCGAGGAGCAUGCCUGUUUGAGUGUCAUUAAUAUAUCAACCUCUCUUGUUGAGUGGUUUGGAUGUGGGGGUUUUG
rnacentral:rRNA from 1 species